UCCUGCUGUCUGCGCCUAGCUGUGGGGAGCUCCCGGAUCCCCAUCGGAGACACCCUGAACCAACUGCUUUCCCCAGCUGGAGCGGUUGAGUCAGGCUGCAGAUCUCUAGCGCUCAGCGUUCGACUCCAACCUGAGACAGCGAGAGCUGCAGGUAACAUCAUGGCAACACUGAAACCUUCCCAGUCAUUUCUGUAUCGAGCCCAUAAAUCCUGGAUCUUCGCAGGUUGUGUGUCUCAGAAAACAACUGCAGGGCAAAUUUCUGCCCCAAAGUGCUAAGUACUAAUGCUUCCAAAAAUAAAUAAUUAAGAGUA